CCAAAUGGAUAAAUAAAGCAUGGGAAGAGGCGAAUAAGGAAGCCGGUGUGGCUGACAACCGGACGAAGUUCUUAGCAAACGAUUUUCAAGAAAAAUCGAAAAAAAUUCUGACAACCGGACAAGCAAACAAGAACACAUGCAUCGUUUAUAAAUAAGGAUCAGCAUCGUUUGAAUCUAACACUCAUUCAUUGGUAAAAAUAUUUAAUAUCUAAUUUUUUUAACUUGUAUUUCAACUAAUUCAUUUUUUCAUGAUUCAAAAUUUGAAAUUAGGUCGUCAAUCGAUUUUCUUUUACAUAAUCGUUUCUGUCUACGUAUAAUCCUAUAAAUGAUACAUAUUUAAUGGUACAUAUUUAAAUUUUGUUAUUGAGAAUGUCAUAUAUACAUUUAAGUGUUUAUUAAAUACAUUUCUCUAACAAAUUGAAAAUCACUACCAAAACAUCAAAUCAAUAGUCAUUAUAAUAAUGGCUAACGAUCAAUUCCGAAAAAAGUUGACAAAUCCACUGUGUCGUCGUCGUAUUUAAAAUAAUCAUCAAGUGAAAAAUUGGAAGAACGUGUAGAUGUAGAUGUAAAAGGUGACGGCGGUUGCGAUGAGUUAAUCGUAGGUUCAGCAAGAUCACUUUCUUCGAAUGGUGCAGGAAAUUGUUGAGAUCGAACGGAAAAUGACAGGAAGGUUGUGUUGAUUGUGGUGAGUUUCGAAUUAUGGGUUGCACGACUAUCCUGUGUCUUCUCAUAUGACCACCUAACACUUGAUCAGAAACGAAUUUAAUUCCACAGACCGAGCAUGCGUUAACUUUUUCCUUUUUAACAGCGAUAUCACAGUCGCUGGAAAGAGGCAUUAAAGAUGAUCCUAUACCAGAAAAAGAACUUCCCAAACUUAUAUCGAGAUUACAACCUUCGUUGUCGAUGAAUCUACUCGGAUUGAUGAAGGUGUUGUGAACAUACGGAUGAUAUGGUAUUGAUCCUGUCGUUGUUUUAGACUUCUUGUGACUCACCCGAUGACCGUUUAGGGCUUGAAAAGUUAAAAUCCUUUUGUUGCAGGUCUCACAUCCGUAUCUAUGGAUAUUUUCUAAUUUAGCUUUUCUAUUUUUUAUAAUCGAAUCAUCGUCGAUUGCUUCAUUUCUUGAAA
rnacentral:lncRNA from 1 species